rnacentral:rRNA from 1 species
AGUGAACGCUGGCGGUAGGCCUAACACAUGCAAGUCGAACGGCAGCACAGUAAGAGCUUGCUCUUACGGGUGGCGAGUGGCGGACGGGUGAGGAAUACAUCGGAAUCUACUUUUUCGUGGGGGAUAACGUAGGGAAACUUACGCUAAUACCGCAUACGACCUACGGGUGAAAGCAGGGGAUCUUCGGACCUUGCGCGAUUGAAUGAGCCGAUGUCGGAUUAGCUAGUUGGCGGGGUAAAGGCCCACCAAGGCGACGAUCCGUAGCUGGUCUGAGAGGAUGAUCGGCCACACUGGAACUGAGAAACGGCCCAGACUCCUACGGGAGGCAGCAGGGGGGAAUAUGGGAAAAUGGGCGCAAGCCGAUCCAGCCAUACCGCGUGGGUGAAGAAGGCCUUCGGGUUGUAAAGCCCUUUUGUUGGGAAAGAAAAGCAGCAGGUUAAUACCCCGCUGUUCUGACGGUACCCAAAGAAUAAGCACCGGCUAACUUCGUG